AUGUGUCUAGAACACUGUGUGACUGUAAUUUCACCUUGUUUAAAGGUAAUUCUGUGGAGUCUUCAAAAAGCCCGUCCUGUCUGGAUUACAAAUUUACAGGAGGAUGAAACAGAGGAAACGGAAGGUCCCCAGUCCCCCGGUCGGCUCCUAAACCCCGCACUAGCCCACUCUGUCGCUGUGGCAUCGUGCGGCAAUCUUUUUAGCUGUGGUGCGGAGGAUGGUAAGGUGCGCAUCUUCAGGGUGAUGGGAGUCAAAUGUGAGCGAGAACUGGGAUUUAAGGGUCACACUUUGGGAGUAUCCCAGGUCUGCUUUCUGCCCGAGUCCCAUCUGCUGCUUACUGGGGGAAAUGAUGGGAAGAUAAGAUUGUGGGAUGUGAACAGUAAGACGGAGAAGCCCCAGAAGAGUCCUGUGAAGCACACCUACAGGAAGAAAGCAAAGAGGGCGGCGUGCCCCACGCAGGGUGCGAACUCUGGAGCCCCUGGAGCAGAGGAUGAGGGACAUGCAAAGAUUCUGCCGAAGCUCGAUAUUGAACACGGAGAAAAAGUGAACUGGCUCUUGAGUACAAAAAUAAAAGGGAACAGAAGCAUAUUAGUGGCUGAUCAGACGAGUUGUGUGUCUGUGUAUACCCUAAAUGAACUUUAGGUCCAAUUAAAUGCAUUGCAAAAAUCAA